rnacentral:lncRNA from 1 species
CUCCUAUCCCGUCGACACCCCCCCAAGUUAUCGUUCCAUCCCCACACUCCUCAUCCCACAUCCCCACCCUCAGGCUACUCCAGCACAGUCUCUCCACCAAUGAACGAGCAGCAAGCCCUUGGGUAGGAAAACCUAGGACACUCACUCACACUACUUAGCCCAAGCCUGGCAGGCACGGAGCACGCACAGGAGCGGGCACUGGGCCCCAGGCAUGCAUGGACUCACAGACGCUGCUUGCUGUCCAGGAGGCAGGGAUGACCGAAUACUCAGCCUGCCCAUCAUCCCUACUUACGUUGCUUCGAGGACUUCGGUGUCUGCUGGAGAUCAAGUAUUUUUCCUGGACUUCUAGGAGCUGCUGAGCUCUGCGGGAGGAAGGUUGGGUCACACAUGGUACAAGAAAAGCAAGCCUCAACACCUUCUCC